AGUGAACGCUGGCGGUAGGCCUAACACAUGCAAGUCGAACGGCAGCACCGUAAGAGCUUGCUCUUACGGGUGGCGAGUGGCGGACGGGUGUGGAAUACAUCGUAAUCUACUUUUUCGUGGGGGAUAACGUAGGGAAACUAACGCUAAUACCGCAUACGACCUACGGGUGAAAGCAGGGGAUCUUCGGACCUUGCGCGAUUGAAUGAGCCGAUGUCGGAUUGGCUAGUGGGCGGGGUAAAGGCCCACUAAGCCGACGAUCCGUAGCUGGUCUGAAAGGAUGAGCAGCCACACUGGAACGGAGACACGGCCCAGACUCCUACGACAGGCAGCAGGCGGGAAUAUUGGACAAGGGGCGCAGUCCUGAUUCAGCCAUAACGCAUGGGUGAGGAAGGGCGUCGGGUUGUAAAAACCUUGUGGUGGGAAAGAAAAUCAGCAGGUAAAAACCCCGAGGUUGUGACGAUACCCAAAGUAUAAGCGCCGACUAACUUCGUG
rnacentral:rRNA from 1 species